rnacentral:rRNA from 1 species
GCGAACGCUGGCGGCAGGCCUAACACAUGCAAGUCGAACGAACUCUUCGGAGUUAGUGGCGGACGGGUGAGUAACACGUGGGAACGUGCCUUUUGGUUCGGAAUAACUCAGGGAAACUUGUGCUAAUACCGAAUGUGCCCUUCGGGGGAAAGAUUUAUCGCCAUUAGAGCGGCCCGCGUCUGAUUAGCUAGUUGGUGAGGUAACGGCUCACCAAGGCGACGAUCAGUAGCUGGUCUGAGAGGAUGACCAGCCACACUGGGACUGAGACACGGCCCAGACUCCUACGGGAGGCAGCAGUGGGGAAUCUUGCGCAAUGGGCGAAAGCCUGACGCAGCCAUGCCGCGUGAAUGAUGAAGGUCUUAGGAUUGUAAAAUUCUUUCACCGGGGACGAUAAUGACGGUACCCGGAGAAGAAGCCCCGGCUAACCUCGUG